rnacentral:rRNA from 1 species
GCGAGGUAACGGCUCACCAAGGCUUCGACGGGUAGCUGGUCUGAGAGGAUGAUCAGCCACACUGGGACUGAGACACGGCCCAGACUCCUACGGGAGGCAGCAGUAGGGAAUCUUGCACAAUGGGCGAAAGCCUGAUGCAGCAACGCCGCGUGCGGGAAGAAGGCCCUAGGGUUGUAAACCGCUUUCAGCAGGGAAGAAAGUGACGGUACCUGUAGAAGAAGGUGCGGCCAACUACGUGCCAGCAGCCGCGGUGACACGUAGGCACCAAGCGUUGUCCGGAUUUAUUGGGCGUAAAGAGCUCGUAGGCGGUUCAGUGAGUCGGGUGUGAAAACUCUGGGCUUAACCCAGAGACGCCACCCGAUACUGCUGUGACUAGAGUGCGGUAGGGGAGCGGGGAAUUCCUGGUGUAGCGGUGAAAUGCGCAGAUAUCAGGAGGAACACCAGUGGCGAAGGCGCCGCUCUGGGCCGUGACUGACGCUGAGGAGCGAAAGCGUGGGUAGCAAACAGGAUUAGAUACCCUGGUAGUCCACGCCGUAAACGUUGGGCACUAGGUGUGGGUCUCAACCAACGAGAUCCGCGCCGUCGCUAACGCAUUAAGUG